GGCGGUAUCGUCUAGGGGUCAGGACACGUGGUUCUCAGCCACGGGACCGGGGUUCGAAUCCCCGUACCGCUACCA
rnacentral:tRNA from 4 species